UUUAGCCUGGGCUUGAGCGCGCGCAGAAGUCAGCUUCGUGACUUCCUUCUCAGGAUGGAACCAGCUUGGUGGCUUGAGGCUUAGCUAAGGGAGCAGAAGACUAACCGUGGUCACUACACAGGCUCUCAAAAUCCUUGCAGCAGUUCCCAAACUCUUGGCAGCGGGCAUUGCAGUGACAUUGGUGGUGCUUGUCAAAGGCUUCGUAGCAGCGGCCCUGGCAGGAGGAAAGGGGUUCUGAGUUGCAAAUCAGAAACUUGAAGAUGAAAUGGCUACUACGCUGGGUAUUGCCUUUAUCUUGAAUGCCAGCCUGAUGGUCCAAGGUGAACAAGCCUUCCUGUGUUUUCUGAAUGUUCCCCCGCACUUUGCCUGCCACCAUGUAAGAUGUGUCUUUGCGCCUCCUUUGCCUUCCACCAUGAUUGUGCGGCCUCCCCAGCCAUGUGGAACGACACAACUCUUCACCAGUGCACAAAACCUGAUGAGAAGGAUACAGACUGGAUUUUGGUCCAGCUUGCUGCUUAACUAGGUUCCCUUGCACAACGCACAACCUGUGCAAUGAUUAUGCAGUGAAAUUGAUGGCCAUUACCUAACGUGGCUUCAGUGACCAUGUUUUCAAAACUGGGAGUCAGAGUGCAUGGCUUGACAUCAAGGCUUUGUGUCACAAAGCAGAAGAUCAUUAAUCUGGGAGUUGACAACAUUGGAAGCACCUAAACAAGUUGAUUAUUCAUACAAGAUUUUUUUCAAGUAUUCAUUUAAAACUAUGCAGUUAAAGGUGGUGCAUGUCCUGUUCUAAUUGGUAGGCUGGAAAUGAUGGUAUGGAGAUGUUGCACCACGUGGUCCCUUCACUAGAGGAAGAGUGGUAUGAAUCGUGUCCGUCACUGUGACACCAUGCAGUCUUCCUGGCAGUACACAAGUUGUGUCUGGGGUCUGUCAGGAUCAACAGGCCUUGAGAGAGACUGACCCAGAGGACUACUAAAAGGGACACCUGCCCAGGCCAGCCUAUUCUACCAUCCUCGUUCUCCUGCAAAACCAAGGCCACGUCAUUUCAGCAGAGGACCUGCGUGUGGAAGGACCCUGCAGCUGGCCCAUCACAGGAGAGGCCCAGACUCACCUCCCAAGGGGACCCUGGCACAUGAAGAUGCUGGUUCUCCUGGGAGUGCUGCCCUGGCCCACAGGAUAGAAGCGCAGGAUGGUCACCCAUGUCUGCUCUUAUUGAAUGUGUCUUAGAAGCGGCUCCAUGUGUGAUUUCUUUCCCACAUUGGUUAGUAUGGUGUAUACCACGUUUGUGUUCCCAGGCUUUUGUUUAAGUUUGUGGGCAGCCCUGACAUCAGCAUCACACUCAAUGCCUGGGCUGAGCAUAUCCGUCAGACCUCCCAACUAGGCCCACUCAUCACAUAGUCCCAUGCUGCACUUCUAGUUCUGCCAGCCACACCCCAUGCUGGUCCUCAGCCUGGAACACCCUCCCCCACCCUCCCUGCUCAGCUGUCCAGCUCCUACUCAUCCUCCGGCCCCAGGGCAAAUUCACUCUUCCACAAAGCCUGACCUCUCUUCAGCCCACAGGAUCUCUCCUGCCUAGGAGCUUGGUUGUGCAUAUUUGUCCUGUGUGCCUUUGACACAGCACAGUCAUCUCUGACUGCCAACAUCUGUUGCUGCCAACAUGGUAUCAGUUAACCCCUGCACUGCCAUUUAACUUUUCCUCUGAAGUUCUUUGAGAAGGGGACCCUGCCUCAUGGGCCCUUUGUAUUGCCAUCCAAUGUGUGUUAGAAUCUAAACAGUUAGAUAAUUAUCAACCUGUGCCUGAGACCUGCAAUGAAUCAAUAUGUAAAUGAAUCAGGGCACUGGUCAGUCUUCCAGCCCCACUUGAUAUUAAAGACUCAGUGAAGAUGGUUAGCAAAGCAGAGGACAGCAAAUGGGUCUCCGGCAGCUGUGAAGCACCAGAGUUUAUCCAAAGGGGGGACGUGGGGUCUAGAGACUCAUCUCAAAGUUGCAUUUUCAUAACAAAUACACUGGGUUUUUUUUUUUUUUAGCUAUAUUGUGUAUUUGUUGGGGCCUAAUGGAAAUUUAGGAGGACCUAAACCCCCAAGCCACCCUUGGCACCACCCCUACAAGGGGCAGCCACCACAGGGACUGGACAGUUCCAGCAGUUUCUGAAUCCACAGUGUCACAGAGAUCUCAGCUGUAUCCUGCUUUUUUAGGAUCCCAAAGGAACCAUCUGCCUACACUCUUUGCCAGCUGUGCUAAUGUUUGUUUUACACUGCCCAGUAAUGAUUAUAAAAUUACUAUUGCAUGUCCUCAAACUCCACUGGCUUUAAAGAGGGUCUAGAGGCACAAUGAGAACAAGGAGAUGUGGGCAAGACAGGCAGACAGCGAUAAGGAGGUUCAGAGAGACAGCGAGGGAGUGAGUAAGGGCGAGAUCAAGAGAGAGACAGGCCCGAGGCCAACCCGCAGCUGACCGCUGGCGUGAGGAACAUGGGCUGCCUCUCGCCCCAGGUAUGUUGGCACAGCUGGGCUGUUCUGGCCUCAAAGAUGAUGACAGGACAACAGGACUGGCAGGAGCGGUUCCUGACCCAUGAUUUGAAAUCUACAAUCUGUCAAAAUUACCAUAAUUAUUGUGCUAAGGUAGUUGGGUUAUGGGAAAUUCCCCCUUUCUCAUUCAUUCCUUCAUUCACCUGACAAAUAGCACUUGAAUGCCACUGUGUGCCAGACACUGUGAUAAGCAAAGUGGAUAAAGGGUGAGCAGCUCAGCAGCUGGAGAGAAAGAAAGACAUAAAUAAAGAGCGUCUACAGCCAGAUCUGGGCAGCAGGACAUGAGGCUCAGACUGUUGAUUCUAAAGCCAAGCUGCCUGGGUUUGAAUCCCAGCUCUGCCACCCACCAGCUGUACAAUCCUGGGCAAGUUCCCUGACCCCUCUGUGCCUCAAUUUCCCCCGUAGAUCUAAAAUAGAACAAGUAAGAGUACCUUAGAGGGCUAUGGUGAGGAUUGAAUAAGUUAAUCCUUGCAGAGGUUUUAGAACAGUGCCUAAUAAAUAAGGCCAGAUGUUUGUUGUUAAAAAAAAAAAUAGGGCCACGAAGGGCGUAAUUUAGAUAGGAUGGUUAGGAAAAGCCUGAAAAAUGAAUGUUAACAAUGUUCUGUGGCUGGGCGCGGUGGCUUACGCCUGUAAUCCCAGCACUUUGGGAGGCCGAGGCAGGCAGAUCACCUGAGGUCAGGAGUUCAAGACCCGCCUGGCCAACAUGGUGAAAACCCAUCUCUACUAAAAAUACAAAAAGUAGCUGGGCGUGGUGAUGCACAUCUGUAAUCCCAGCUACUUGGGAGGCUAAGACAGGAGAAUCGCUGGAACCAGGGAGGUGGAGAUUGCAGUAAGCCAAGAUCUCACCACAGCACUCCAGCCUGGGCAACAGAACAGGACUCCGUCUCCAAGAAAUAAAAAUAAAAAAAAUACAAAGAAAAGUGUUCUGGGCUGGGCGCAGUGGCUCAUGCCUGUAAUCCCAGCACUUUGGGAGGCCAAGGCAGGCAGAUCACGAGGUCAGGAGAUUGAGACCAUCCUGGCUAACAUGGUGAAACUCCAUCUACUAAAAAUACAAAAAACUAGCUGGGCGUGGUGGCAGGCGCCUGUAGACCCAGCUACUCAGGAGACUGAGGCAGGAGAAUGGCAUGAACCCGGGAGGUGGAGCUUUCAGUGAGCUGAGAUCGCGCCACUGCACUCCGGCCUGGGCGACAGAGCAAGACUCCGUCUCAAAAAAAAAAAAAAAAAGUUCUGAAAAUGACAAUAGUGAGAAGGUGGCAGCUCCUCUAAUCUACAGUCUCUAUAAUGUAAUAUUUAUUUUAUAAUUCCAAAGAUAAUAUUUUCAUUUAAAAAACGUGCACCCUCGGUAUUUUCAAGUCUUGGGGAUGGCCCUUUGAUGAGUCGCACUGUCUAACUCACCUGGUUUGGUGCCAAAAGGAACCACCUGUUUUCUGGGGCUGUGGCCUGCAGCCUUAGGAACAGUGCUUUGCUCUGGGGGAAGCUAAAAGUUGCAAUGGGGCUAAGCUAAGAGCAGCAACUCCAUGGCUCAGCCUCCUGAGCCUUGUGCUCUAUUUGAUGAGAUAAUCCACAGCUGCCUGGUGCAAAGUCAAGAACCGGAGAAGAGAAACAGAGAUUGCUGACCUUCUCCGUGGGCCACCAGAGUCCAGCCUGCAUGUGCAGGCUCUCCCUCCAGCACACAGGUUGCUCCUGCAGGGCUCAGCCCCAGCAACGCUGAGAGGGUGAAACUGGCCACCUACCUCUCCCUCUGAUUCCCACCCUGGAUGCCCUGUGUCCCAGGACCCCUGUAACAUUCUCCCACCCUAAGUAAUCAUCUCUGGACCUUGCCACCUGAUCAUGCCAUUAAAUUCCCCUAAUGCCAUUGCCUCGAGGCUCUUCUUUUUCUAUUCUUUUAAAAGUGACCAUUAGAAAUAUUAAUUAGAAUCUACAAUUGGGCCAUUAGAAUCUUCCCAACUUAUGUAUCUACAUAACAGGGGCCUUCUACUGACAACUAGAACUCAAAGAGUAGAAGGCAAGCAGUCAUGCACUCAAGCAGGUAGCAGGGAGCAACACUCAGGGGUAGGGAGCUCUGAGAACCCCUCCAAUAAAACAGUGCUUGCAGCUCACUAUCCCUCCCAUGAGCAGUCACGGCUGGAAGCCACCAUGGGGAAGAUGCUUAAAGGGGCCUACACCCCUUCCCCUUUUGACACCCUGAGUUGCCAAAUUCAUAGAUCCUCAAACACUUCUCAUCCAAAUUCCUGUUUCUAAAUGGGGAAAGUGAGGCCCAGGGAGAGGAAGGCGCUUGCCUUGCCCAGGGCUGCUGAGAGAUGGAGGCCCCCCUGCCCCAGCACACUGCCCACCUAUGGGAUCCACCUAUGCUGCCUUAUACUCUGGUGGACAGGGCACUUUUCUGGGUGGUCAAGUAAGCUUAAAAUAUCCUGUUGUCAUGGCCCCCUAAAAAGGCACCCUGUCUCUACCCCUCUGCUAGCUAGGAUCGCCUAAGUGCCAGGAAAGCCAGUACAGCCCCUCCAUUCAGCAGUCCAAAACAGCUCUAGCUGCCUACAACUCACUCCAGUGAGAAAACCAAGAUCCAAGUGCUCUCCAAGGGCCAAGAGCAAGGCAGGCAGAGUCAGGGUGAAGCCUGAAGCAUCCAGCUCCCUGGUCCAGGGUGCACACUGGUCACAGUCCACACACACAUGCACAACCAGAAUCCCACACCUCCUAGCACAAAAAGUGGGUCCAAACUGUGAGCUUAACCUUCUGUCUUCUUCUGGGAGUCACCAGCCUCCUCUGUGUUCUACCAGCUACCACCAGGAGCAUCCUCCCCUGACCCCAUCGAGGCACCUGCUCCAGGAAGGCCCCCAGGCAUGGGAGAGAAGACUCUUUCUAAGUGCAGCUGAGUCAGACUCGGCUUCUCAGGAUGAUCCAGUUUUAUCAUCACUGGGAGGGACGGCAGUCACCCGUGCCCUGGCCUGCAAGCCCCUUCACCCUCAGAUGCCAGCAGACUGUGUUGCAGGAAGGCUACAGCUCAGGUCUUGAAGAGUCCAGAAUCUGAGAGGAGGGUGCCUGAAUUGGCUGCAGCAACUGGACAGGCCUGGGUGGACACUUACUUAGUAUAGAUCCAUGGCCUGGCAGAUGUAGGAGGAGCUCAAUACUGAGUGUGGGUUGGGGUACUAGGACACAUUUUGGAAAGACAUGUACUUUCUGGCCUGUAGGUCUGUGGAAGGGAGAAAGGGGUUGAGGACAACUGCCAGGUCAGAAUUUGCUGCAGCCACCAGCCACCAUACCUGCCUGCUACUCAGGUGGCUUGUGCCAGUGAUGAGUGGAGAGCAUCCCCAUCUCAGGGGACAGAGCUGUGCAGGGCUCAGGGGAGCUGGGGCUAUGAACCUAUGCUCCAACGGGAGCAGCUCUGGGCCUUAAUGCUUGGGGUAAGCACUGAGAUGCUGCAGCCCUGGGAUUCUGCUGCUCUGGACUUUAUCCCUCGGCAUCUUUUGUUACUGAUAGUCUUGGCUGCCUAGCUGGAUGAUUGACCCCAUGAGGGCCAGAACUACCAGUCUUGGUUUUUUCUUUUUUAGAGACAGAGUCUUUCUCUGUCAACCAAAGAAAGGACGAGUGCAGUUAUAGCUCACUGUAACCUCGAACUCCUGGGCUCAAGUGAUCCCCCCACUUCAACCUCCCAAGUAGCUAGGACUACAGGUGCACACCACCAUACCCGGGUAAUUUUUAUUUUUUAUAGAGACCGGGUCUUGCUUUGUUACCCAGGUUGGUCUCAAAUGCCUAGCCUCCCAAAGCAUUGGGAUUACAGGCAUCAGCCACAGCACCUGGCCUUUGUCUUGUUCACAGAGCCCCUACAAGGCCUAUAGUAAGUACGUGAAAAUAAAAGAAUGUGGGAAUGGAGAGAGGGAAAAAGGAAUUUAUAUGCUUGGGUCUAAUCCUGCAAAAGAAUAAAAUGUUGGGAUUCAGAGAGCUGUCAUGGGGAGUGCCGGGGGCAUGGGGAAAGGGCAUGGCUGAUACACAUCCAGUUACUUCACCUGUCUACCCUGCUAUUAAGCAGUUAUGUGACCUUGGGCAAACCUGCCUGUGCCUCAGUUUCUUUGACUGUAAAACCAGAGUAAAAAUACCUGUAGUACCUAUUCUGUCAUCAGGAUAAAAAUAACGUAACGUGAGACAGGGUGAAGAUGAAAGAAGAUGAAAACACCAUUCAAGUCUUAACCUAUUAUUAUCAUGGUAAAUCUUGUGACUAUUGGGAAGGAGAGCAGCCAGAGGCUGAGGGCUGUUGGAGACACAGAA
rnacentral:lncRNA from 1 species